rnacentral:lncRNA from 1 species
CUUCAUCGUUGUUAAUGGCUUGCCAUAUUUCCUCCAGAGAAACCUUUUCUACACCUGAGAUGGAACUUCCUCUUCAUUAUGGUUUAUAAGGGUUAAUAUUGUUCUGAGUGUUUGUAUUUGCUAGGGACUCUUAGAGAACAUUUUCUCAGAAUUAAAAUGUUGGGAGUUGAUACCUACUGAUGUAACCUGUUCUGCACAUUUUGGUGCAAGUCACUUUACAUCCAGAAAGCAAGCGGUGCAGGCUGUGUCAUUUGCUGUUUCGUAGGACCAGCUGAUUCUAAACCUGGAAACCCUGAGAGCCGAAGUGGACCAGACGAGACUGUGAGGGGCUCCCUUCCACCACAGCCGACCCCACUUGGGCAGCGCCCCGGACCUCAGGUUCCCUGUGGCGGACCGGCCGGCAGACUCCUUGGGCAACGGGGCGGUGCUGCGGUGCCCCCAGAAAGGCCGGCUGGCAGCGCUGCACGAUGAGCCAUCCAAGGC